rnacentral:rRNA from 1 species
AAAUUGAAGAGUUUGAUCAUGGCUCAGAUUGAACGCUGGCGGCAGGCCUAACACAUGCAAGUCGAGCGGUAGCACAGAGAGCUUGCUCUCGGGUGACGAGCGGCGGACGGGUGAGUAAUGUCUGGGAAGCUGCCUGAUGGAGGGGGAUAACUACUGGAAACGGUAGCUAAUACCGCAUAACGUCGCAAGACCAAAGUGGGGGACCUUCGGGCCUCAUGCCAUCAGAUGUGCCCAGAUGGGAUUAGCUAGUAGGUGGGGUAAUGGCUCACCUAGGCGACGAUCCCUAGCUGGUCUGAGAGGAUGACCAGCCACACUGGAACUGAGACACGGUCCAGACUCCUACGGGAGGCAGCAGUGGGGAAUAUUGCACAAUGGGCGCAAGCCUGAUGCAGCCAUGCCGCGUGUGUGAAGAAGGCCUUCGGGUUGUAAAGCACUUUCAGCGAGGAGGAAGGCGGUGAGGUUAAUAACCUCAUCGAUUGACGUUACCCGCAGAAGAAGCACCGGCUAACUCCGUGCCAGCAGCCGCGGUAAUACGGAGGGUGCAAGCGUUAAUCGGAAUUACUGGGCGUAAAGCGCACGCAGGCGGUCUGUCAAGUCGGAUGUGAAAUCCCCGGGCUCAACCUGGGAACUGCAUUCGAAACUGGCAGGCUAGAGUCUUGUAGAGGGGGGUAGAAUUCCAGGUGUAGCGGUGAAAUGCGUAGAGAUCUGGAGGAAUACCGGUGGCGAAGGCGGCCCCCUGGACAAAGACUGACGCUCAGGUGCGAAAGCGUGGGGAGCAAACAGGAUUAGAUACCCUGGUAGUCCACGCCGUAAACGAUGUCGAUUUGGAGGUUGUGCCCUUGAGGCGUGGCUUCCGGAGCUAACGCGUUAAAUCGACCGCCUGGGGAGUACGGCCGCAAGGUUAAAACUCAAAUGAAUUGACGGGGGCCCGCACAAGCGGUGGAGCAUGUGGUUUAAUUCGAUGCAACGCGAAGAACCUUACCUGGUCUUGACAUCCACAGAACUUUCCAGAGAUGGAUUGGUGCCUUCGGGAACUGUGAGACAGGUGCUGCAUGGCUGUCGUCAGCUCGUGUUGUGAAAUGUUGGGUUAAGUCCCGCAACGAGCGCAACCCUUAUCCUUUGUUGCCAGCGGUCCGGCCGGGAACUCAAAGGAGACUGCCAGUGAUAAACUGGAGGAAGGUGGGGAUGACGUCAAGUCAUCAUGGCCCUUACGACCAGGGCUACACACGUGCUACAAUGGCAUAUACAAAGAGAAGCGACCUCGCGAGAGCAAGCGGACCUCAUAAAGUAUGUCGUAGUCCGGAUUGGAGUCUGCAACUCGACUCCAUGAAGUCGGAAUCGCUAGUAAUCGUAGAUCAGAAUGCUACGGUGAAUACGUUCCCGGGCCUUGUACACACCGCCCGUCACACCAUGGGAGUGGGUUGCAAAAGAAGUAGGUAGCUUAACCUUCGGGAGGGCGCUUACCACUUUGUGAUUCAUGACUGGGGUGAAGUCGUAACAAGGUAACCGUAGGGGAACCUGCGGUUGGAUCACCUCCUUACCUUAAAGAA